rnacentral:sRNA from 1 species
UCUUGAGUACUACUUGUAGGAGGCGGA